GCACACGCGGCAAUGCAUGCAAUCAAAAUGGCACAUAAUCAAACAUGGAGUUCGGUGGUGUUUGAAUGUGAUUGUCUAGAGGUUAUAAACACUUUUAAGGAUGGAGAUGAGUCACUAGCAUCGUAUGGAGCAUUUGUUGAAGAUAGCUUACGUAUUAUCUGUUCAUUUUCCUUAUGUGAUUUUCAUUUUGUCAAAAGAGAGGGCAAUUAUUUAGCCCAUGCUUUAGCUAGUCAAGGUUUAUUUAUUUGUUCUGAAGGAGAUUCUCUCCCUCCAAACAUUGCAUAUUUUGCC
rnacentral:lncRNA from 1 species